ACACCUCAACUCCUCCUGGUUUGCCAUGAUGAGCUUGGACCUUGGGGGUAUUGCUGGCCCUGUGGUUGGCUCCUCUCAAAUAGAUCAGCUUGCCAGUGUUUGGUGGCAUCACAGGUGUGAUAAAUAUCUACGCUUGUGGUUUCCACCAUGCGGCCUUCAGCGAUGAAGGUGCGCUGGAGCUCACAAAUGUCCCUCCUCAGCGAGGACAGCUUCUGAAC
rnacentral:misc_RNA from 1 species